rnacentral:rRNA from 1 species
UGGGGAAUAUUGGACAAUGGGCGCAAGCCUGAUCCAGCCAUGCCGCGUGAGUGAUGACGGCCCUAGGGUUGUAAAGCUCUUUCACCCACGACGAUAAUGACGGUAGUGGGAGAAGAAGCCCCGGCUAACUUCGUGCCAGCAGCCGCGGUAAUACGAAGGGGGCUAGCGUUGUUCGGAUUUACUGGGCGUAAAGCGCACGUAGGCGGAUCUUUAAGUCAGGGGUGAAAUGCCGGAGCUCAACUUCGGAACUGCCUUUGAUACUGGAGAUCUUGAGUUCGAGAGAGGUGAGUGGAACUGCGAGUGUAGAGGUGAAAUUCGUAGAUAUUCGCAAGAACACCAGUGGCGAAGGCGGCUCACUGGCUCGAUACUGACGCUGAGGUGCGAAAGCGUGGGGAGCAAA